rnacentral:rRNA from 1 species
CCUACGGGUGGCAGCAGUGAGGAAUAUUGGUCAAUGGGCGGGAGCCUGAACCAGCCAAGUAGCGUGAAGGAUGACAGCCCUAUGGGUUUUAAACUUCUUUUAUCAGGGACUAAAGUGCCCCACGUGUGGGGUUUUGUAUGUACCUUAUGAAUAAGCAUCGGCUAAUUCCGUGCCAGCAGCCGCGGUAAUACUGAAGAUGCGAGCGUUAUCCGGAUUUAGUGGGUUUAAAGGGAGCGUAGUCGGUUCCAUAAGUCAGCGGUAAAAGCGUGCGGCUCAACCGUACCGUGCCGUUGACACUGUGGGACUUGAGGAUGCGCAGGGGACAUGGAAGUCGUGGGGUAGCGGUGAAAUGCUUAGAGAUCACGAAGAACUCCGAUCGCGAAGGCAUUGUACCGGAGCAAGACUGACGCUGAGGCUCGAAAGUGCGGGUAUCAAACAGGAUUAGAUACCCUGGUAGUC